rnacentral:sRNA from 1 species
AUGGACCACGCGUCCACUGCGGUUGUGAGCGCGCCGUCCGCGCCCACCUGACCGCUG